UGACGAUUCAUGGUGGUUUGGACGGCUGCAGAAUGGACGAGAAGGGUUCUUCCCCGCUACUUAUGUGGUAAAAUCUAUUCAGAGGGACGAGCCCGCGAAAGUUUCCCCGAGCUCAUUAAAGAAGAGUUCAGUCCAGCCCGUGGCUGCAGAUGUCCUCGGAGCCAGCGCAGGCGGGCGCAGCCCGGAGUCCCAGAGGGGUAGGGAGGAGGGCCUCUUCCUGGCUCAGAGGCCUGGGGCCUCUCUCCCGCUCGCGGAGGGCCCGGCCCA